rnacentral:rRNA from 1 species
AUUGAACGCUGGCGGCAGGCUUAACACAUGCAAGUCGAGCGAGCGGCGGACGGGUGAGUAAUGUCUGGGAAACUGCCUGAUGGAGGGGGAUAACUACUGGAAACGGUAGCUAAUACCGCAUACCAUCAGAUGUGCCCAGAUGGGCUUAGCUAGUAGGUGGGGUAUUGGCUCACCUAGGCGACGAUCCCUAGCUGGUCUGAGGGGAUGACCAGCCACACUGGAAAUAAGACACGGUCCAGCCGCCUACGGGAGGCAGCAGUGGGGAAUAGUGGACAGUGUGCGAAGUCCUGAUGCGGCCAUGCCGCGUGUGUUGAGAAGGCCUCCGUGUUGUAAAGCACUUUAAGCGAGGAGGCGUUACUAGCAGAAGAAGCACCGGCUAACUCCGUGCCAGCAGCCGCGGUAAUUC